rnacentral:piRNA from 1 species
UUCCCACAGCAGUUUUGAUCA